CAGUUUGAAGUAAACAUAUAGCCUAUCUGUAUCAAGGGGUCCAACCUAAACCGUAUGACACGUGCUUGAACUUCGUAUACCACUACCAAAAUGGCGGAUAAAUCUCGCUUCGAUACACAACGUAAUGGGAAUAUACUAGAAGAGGCCAGUUAAGUUAGGCUUUUACCAAUCACGAAAGAGGAAAGUUGUUUCCCGUCUUGACACCUAGGAGAUCCAGUUCUGGCAAAAGGCUGUAUAAUCGUCGUACCUCAGACUUUACAAACUGCACAAAUGAAUGUGCUUCCUUAGUCGAGUUAAGAAAGCAUUUUCCAUAUCAACACAUAUAGAUGUAAAUCCUACAUCCAACAAGGAAUUUCCAACAUCACCACAGCGGAGAUCAACACGAAAGAAAGGAGAACAACGAUUUAGGAAGAGGUUGUCAUUCGCAUUUCAGUGUAAAUGACAAUGAUGAUAAUCAUACAUUUCAAGUGUUAGAUGAACUGUCCCUUGAUGCAGACAUGUAUACUGAUGAUAUAACAGAAACAAUGUCACUCUUCAGAAGCAGUGUUCAAAAUGGCCUCCCUCCAACAAAACCCCCCAAAAACCCCAACAACAACAACAACAACAUUUCCUAUGUAUUAUUUAAAGAUACGCUAAAAUGGCACUGUCACGGUAAUUCAUCCUGCAUGAGGUAUUCUGACGCCAACGAGGGCUUGCUUUGGACAAGGAAAUUUGUUUUGGAGGUCAGUUUAUCAGAUUCAUGAGAGGGUUUUCUCACCGGGAUAUAUCCUGGACCACCGCAAGGAGUUCAGCCUGCACGUGCCAACUACAAGGUGGAUGAAGGAAAUACAUUUCCUUCAGUAUGACUUGGAAUCAAGGACAAUAUGCUCCUGUGUUCAGAUGUUAUAUGCAAUUAAAUUGUACACAUAAACUAAGUUUCAACUA